AUGACUUUGAUCUGCGUCCUCAUCUGGACUCUCCUCUGCUGCUGCUUCACAGAGUCCAGAGGUCAGGUCACAGUGACUCAGCCUGCAGCAGUGACAGCUGAUCUGGGAGGAUCUGCCACCAUCAUCUGUAGGACCAGUCAGAAUGUUCAUGUUUCCAGCAACUACCACCUUUUAGCCUGGUACCAACAGAAAGAUGGACAAACUCCUAAGCUGCUCAUUUAUCUUGCCAGCACUCGAGCAUCAGGGACUCCAAGUCGUUUUACAGGCAGUGGAUCAAACUCUGACUUCACUCUGACCAUCAGUGGAGUUCAGGCUGAAGAUGCUGCAGUUUAUUACUGUCAGAGUGUUCACUAUAUUAGCAGCCAGUAUGUGUUCACACAGUGA